AAUGCACGAAAGUGUGAUGGAGCGACGCCGCGUGCAGGAAGACGCCUUUCGGGGUGUAAACUGCUUUUAUUAGGGAAGAAUAGUGACGGUACCUAAUGAAUAAGAGGUUGCUAACUACGUGCCAGCAGCAGCGGUAAUACGUAGACCUCAAGCGUUAUCCGGUUUUAUUGGGCGUAAAGCGUCCGCAGGUGGUCAAGUAAGUUAAUUGUCAAAUCCCAAGGCUUAACUUUGGGACUGCAAUUAAAACUGCUCGACUAGAGGUUGGGAGAGGCAAGCGGAACUAUCGGUGUAGUCGUAAUAAGCGCUGAUAUCGAUAGGAACACCAAAGGCGAAGGCAGCUUGCUGGAACAAACCUAACACUCAUGGACGAA
rnacentral:rRNA from 1 species